GCAGUGGUGGUUCACUGAUAGAAUUCUCGCCUGCCACGCGGGAGACCCGGGUCCGUUUCCUGGCCAAUGCA
rfam:Danio rerio chromosome 4, GRCz11 reference primary assembly.